rnacentral:rRNA from 1 species
UACAGAGGUCUCAAGCGUUUGUUCGGAUUCAUUGGGCGUAAAGGGUGUGUAGGUGGCGCGCUAAGUCGGGUGUGAAAUUUCGGAGCUUAACUCCGAAACUGCAUUCGAUACUGGCGUGCUUGAGGACUGGAGAGGAGACUGGAAUUUACGGUGUAGCAGUGAAAUGCGUAGAUAUCGUAAGGAAGACCAGUGGCGAAGGCGGGUCUCUGGACAGUUCCG